rnacentral:rRNA from 1 species
AUCAGAGACGGAAUCCUUCAGUUCGGCUGGACCGGAGACAGGUGCUGCAUGGCUGUCGUCGGCUCGUGUCGUGAGAUGUUGGGUUAAGUCCCGCAACGAGCGCAACCCCCGUCCUUAGUUGCUACCAUUUAGUUGAGCACUCUAAGGAGACUGCCGGUGAUAAGCCGCGAGGAAGGUGGGGAUGACGUCAAGUCCUCAUGGCCCUUACGGGCUGGGCUACACACGUGCUACAAUGGCGGUGACAAUGGGACGCUAAGGGGCAACCCUUCGCAAAUCUCAAAAAGCCGUCUCAGUUCGGAUUGGGCUCUGCAACUCGAGCCCAUGAAGUUGGAAUCGCUAGUAAUCGUGGAUCAGCAUGCCACGGUGAAUACGUUCCCGGGCCUUGUACA